CCUACGGGGUGCAGCAGUGAGGAAUAUUGGUCAAUGGCCGUAAGGCUGAACCAGCCAAGUCGCGUGAAGGAAGAAGGAUCUAUGGUUUGUAAACUUCUUUUGUAGGGGAAUAAAGGUAUCCACGUGUGGAUAUUUGCAUGUACUUUAUGAAUAAGGAUCGGCUAACUCCGUGCCAGCAGCCGCGGUAAUACGGAGGAUCCGAGCGUUAUCCGGAUUUAUUGGGUUUAAAGGGAGCGUAGAUGGGUUGUUAAGUCAGUUGUGAAAGUUUGCGGCUCAACCGUAAAAUUGCAAUUGAUACUGGCAGUCUUGAGUACAGUUGAGGUAAGCGGAAUUCGUGGUGUAGCGGUGAAAUGCUUAGAUAUCACGAAGAACCCCGAUUGCGAAGGCAGCUCACUGGACUGCAACUGACACUGAUGCUCGAAAGUGUGGGUAUCAAACAGGAUUAGAUACCCGUGUAGUC
rnacentral:rRNA from 1 species